rnacentral:rRNA from 1 species
AGUGAACGCUGGUGGUAGGCCUAACACAUGCAAGUCGAACGGCAGCACAGUAAGAGCUUGCUCUUACGGGUGGCGAGUGGCGGACGGGUGAGGAAUACAUCGGAAUCUACUUUUUCGUGGGGGAUAACGUAGGGAAACUUACGCUAAUACCGCAUACGACCUACGGGUGAAAGCAGGGGAUCUUCGGACCUUGCGCGAUUGAAUGAGCCGAUGUCGGAUUAGCUAGUUGGCGGGGUAAAGGCCCACCAAGGCGACGAUCCGUAGCUGGUCUGAGAGGAUGAUCAGCCACACUGGAACUGAGACACGGUCCAGACUCCUACGGGAGGCAGCAGUGGGGAAUAUUGGACAAUGGGCGCAAGCCUGAUCCAGCCAUACCGCGUGGGGGAAGAAGGCCUUCGGGUUGUAAAGCCCUUUUGUUGGGAAAGAAAAGCAGCAGGUUAAUACCCCGCUGUUCUGACGGUACCCAAAGAAUAAGCACCGGCUAACUUCGUG